UUUAAAUAUUGUAUUGUUUAAACUGUCUUCUUCCAAAAUCGGGAAAAUCAUAUGAUCUGCCACUGUAGUAGACUUUAUUGCUGUUCAAUGCAUUUUUUUUAAGUAAAAGCAAAGCAAAUUUAGCAGCAAAUCCCCCCCACAGAAUACACCAUGUAUAGACUUAAAGAGUUUAUUAAUUAGUAAUAUUUUAUUUGGUUUUUACACUCUACUGAAAAGAUGAAAGAGAGGAGCCAAGCUAGUAAACAAUGAUUGAAGGCACAGAACUCUGAUCGGACUUGAAUAUUUACUAUUUUAAAAACAACAGUAUAAUAUUGGCAAGAAUUAAAAGGUGGAUUUUGAGUCUUACACAAUCAGAGUCAAAUAUAUAUAUUCUUUAAGGCACUAAAUAAAAUGCCUCUUAGUUAAGGGCCAUUUUAGAAGGAAAUUGUCCCUGUGACUGAAUUCAAUUGAUAAAAGUAUAUUCAUUCCACAUUUAACAAUAUUAUCAAAUAGCUACAGAGCAACAGAUACAAUCUCUGGCACUAAAAUAAAAUGGCAAGCUAAAACUGACAUGAUCUCUACCCAUAUGGAGAAUGUCGGAAGUGGUUGCAAAGUGUGUGUAAAGAUGCCCCCUUGCAAACCUGUGAAGUAAGGUUGCCUGGUUCUGUAGCAGCACGGAGCAUGUCACAUAAACAGCGCGUACAACGAAGCCCUUGGGGCUGGAGAAAACGUGAAGAGGGCUGGGGCAGGGGGUGUAUGUUGUUGCAACUCAGGGCUGCAGAGAUCUGGGAGGCCAUCCCUUUUAAAGGGAGGAAAAAUGAUCUACCGACAAUUUCUACACCCUACACAGCAGCAUUCCAUAUGAUUUUAAACUAAUGACUACAAACUACAGGACUACAAGGAGGAAGUAUUUAUAUAGAUUGAAAAGAAUGAUUUUUGAAAUAAUGAAAAGCAAAACACCCUCGAUUUUGCUUAUGUAUAGCACACAGGAA
rnacentral:lncRNA from 1 species